CCUACGGGUGGCUGCAGUGGGGAAUAUUGGACAAUGGGCGAAAGCCUGAUCCAGCCAUGCCGCGUGUGUGAAGAAGGCCUUCGGGUUGUAAAGCACUUUCAGUGGGGAAGAAAGCCUUGGGGCUAAUACCCUCGAGGAAGGACAUCACCCACAGAAGAAGCACCGGCUAACUCCGUGCCAGCAGCCGCGGUAAUACGGAGGGUGCGAGCGUUAAUCGGAAUUACUGGGCGUAGCGCGCGUAGGCGGUCUGAUAAGCCGGUUGUGAAAGCCCCGGGCUCAACCUGGGAACGGCAUCCGGAACUGUCAGGCUAGAGUGCAGGAGAGGAAGGUAGAAUUCCCGGUGUAGCGGUGAAAUGCGUAGAGAUCGGGAGGAAUACCAGUGGCGAAGGCGGCCUUCUGGACUGACACUGACGCUGAGGUGCGAAAGCGUGGGUAGCAAACAGGAUUAGAUACCCUAGUAGUC
rnacentral:rRNA from 1 species